UUUCCAGAGAUGGAUUGGUUGCCUUCGGGAACGUCUGACACAGGUGCUGCAUGGCUGUCGUCAGCUCGUGUCGUGAGAUGUUGGGUUAAGUCCCGUAACGAGCGCAACCCUUGUCCUUAGUUACCAGCACGUUAUGGUGGGCACUCUAAGGAGACUGCCGGGUGACAAACCGGAGGAAGGUGGGGGAUGACGUCAAGUCAUCAUGGCCCUUACGGCCUGGGCUACACACGUGCUACAAUGGUCGGUACAAAGGGUUGCCAAGCCGCGAGGUGGAGCUAAUCCCAUAAAACCGAUCGUAGUCCGGAUCGCAGUCUGCAACUCGACUGCGUGAAGUCGGAAUCGCUAGUAAUCGUGAAUCAGAAUGUCACGGUGAAUACGUUCCCGGGCCUU
rnacentral:rRNA from 1 species